rnacentral:rRNA from 1 species
CCCACCAUGGUGACCACGGGUAACGGGGAAACAGGGUUCGACUCCGGAGAGGAAGCCCGAGAAACGGCUACCACCUCCAAGGAAGGCAGCAGGCGCGAAAAUUGUUCACUAACGACACGUUGAGACAGUGACCAGGCGUAUCAUUGCAAGGCACUUAUAGUGUUUUGCAAAUGAAAUGGAAGCAGUGUACAAACCUCAUUGAGGAGCGAAAGGUGGGCAAGUCGAAUGCCAGCAGCUGCGGUAAUUUUUGCACCUUGAGAGUUGUCUAGCAUUGCUGUAGUUAAAUCGCCCGUAGUCGUAUUUCUGGGUGGCCCGUGUUGGGCGCUGCGCAAGCGGUGCUAUGUAUGCGGGCCUCCCACGCACCGAGUACCGCCUUCGGGGGGUACUCCUGUUACCAUGAGGAAAUUGGAGUGUUCAAAGCAGGCUUGAUGCCCGCACACGUUAGCAUGGAAUAAUGAAAGAGGGCCCUGGUUCUUACCGCGCCUCAGGCUUGGAGCAGACCGGGAUCAUGAUGAACAGGAACAGAAUGGGGGCACCCGUACUUUGCUGUCAGGGGUGAAAUCCUUGGAUCAGCAAAAGACGAACGGAUGCGAAAGCGUCUGCCAAGGAUGUUUUCAUUGAUCAAGGCCGAAAGUCGAGGGAUCCAAGACGAUCAGAUACCGUCGUCAUCUCGACCAUCAACGCUGCCGACCGCGGGUGUGCACACUAUUUCGAGAGUGUGUGCGAACGCUAGGAGAAAUUAAAAGUCCAUGGGUACCGGGGGGAGUAUGGUCGCAAGGCUGAAACUUAAAGGAAUUGACGGAGGGACACCACCAGGAGUGGAGCCUGCGGCUUAAUUUGACUCAACACGGGGAAACUCACCAGGUCCAGACAUUGGCAGGAUUGACAUGACUGAGAGCUCUUUCAUGAUUCGAUGGGUGGUGGUGCAUGGCCGUUCUUAGUUGGUGGUUUGAGCUGUCUGCUUCAUUGCGAUAACGAACGAGACCUUCGCGGGGUGUUUCCGAGCGGGCACUUUUGUGGUGCCCCCGGACUUUCUUCCCGGACUGUUGCACUUUCUUUAUGAUGUCGUGCACGGAAGCAGGAGGCAAUAACAGGUCUGUGAUGCCCUUAGAUGUUCUGGGCCGCACGCGCGCUACACUGCCGUGUUCAUCGAGUGAACUGGCUGCCAUGGCUCCGGCUGUGUGCAGCCACCUACCCCGAGAGGGAACUCUUUGUGGGAAAUCUUGUGAAAACACGGCGUGCUGGGGAUCGUCCUUUGCAAUUAUUGGACGUGAACGAGGAAUUCCUAGUAAGCGCGAGUCAUCAGCUUGCGUUGAUUAAGUCACUGUGCCUUGUACACACCGCCCGUCGCUAGUUCUGAUUGAAUGGCUCAGUGAGGUGUCUGGAGCGCCGUUGCAUCUGCGACUGGUGUGAAGUUCCCCGAACUUGGUCAUUUAGAAGAACUAAAAGUCGUAACAAGGUAAUCGUAGGUGAACCUGCGGUUGG